rnacentral:rRNA from 1 species
AUUGAACGCUGGCGGCAUGCCUUACACAUGCAAGUCGAACGGUAACAGGUCUUCGGAUGCUGACGAGUGGCGAACGGGUGAGUAAUACAUCGGAACGUGCCUAGUAGUGGGGGAUAACUACUCGAAAGAGUGGCUAAUACCGCAUGAGAUCUACGGAUGAAAGCAGGGGAUCGCAAGACCUUGUGCUACUAGAGCGGCCGAUGGCAGAUUAGGUAGUUGGUGGGAUAAAAGCUUACCAAGCCGACGAUCUGUAGCUGGUCUGAGAGGACGAUCCGCCACACUGGGACUGAGACGCGGCCCAGACUCCUACGGGAGGCAGCAGUGGGGAAUUUUGGACAAUGGGCGCAAGCCUGAUCCAGCAAUGCCGCGUGCAGGAUGAAGGCCUUCGGGUUGUAAACUGCUUUUGUACGGAACGAAGAGCCCUGGGUUAAUACCCUGGGGUCAUGACGGUACCGUAAGAAUAAGCACCGGCUAACUACGUGCCAGCAGCCGCCGUAACAC